GCUCAAAGGCCUGCAGUGAGCCAUGCCAAUGUGGUUUGGCUGGACUGUGAGUGCUUGAUGCAGUCUGAUAGGAGGAUGGGGGUGGCGCAGAGAACAUUGAAAUCAGAAAGGAUUCUGCUCUGUAGAGACAAAGGAAACACAGAGACAUAGACAUGGAUCUGGGAAAUACACCUUUUGCUACUCGUUCAGUUUUAGCAAGGAGGUUUCUUGCAUGGCUAAGCAAAACUUAAACUUCCUCUGAGAAUUACAGGAAUUACAGGACCUGACAAAGCUAUGAAGAUUAAAACCUAUAGGAAGAAAAUCUGAACCAGAAACAGUAUGGCAGAAUUGGGAUCUGACUCACAGAGGGAAGAACUUAUAAUUCUUCACAGACGCCUAAAUACCUGACGUGUGACAGCAAAUGCCUGUUCCCAUGGAGCUGCUGCUUCUGAGAAAGCUUGAAACAGACAAAGAAUAAGGUAGAAAUGACCUCCUCACUAGAGAUGAAAAGAAGCUGUCCUGGUGAGGAAAUUGGAUCCCAGCUUUUGCCGCUAAGAUUCUUCUCUUCUGCCUCUGGUUUUCUUUAUUGUUCACCCCCAGAAGCAAUCGCUCUCUCACAAGGCAACACACGCAAUAGAGUGAACAGUGAUUCUACAGUCUGAUUCUGGAAAAGGCGACCACAGUGGAAAGAGUGAUCCACACAAGUAUAGGGCCUCCUGAUUAAAACACUAAGAUUUCAUCUCACGCUGUGCCUUUAUACUGUUGAGAUACUAAAGAGGACACUAAAGAUCAAAGUGCUACUUUACAACAUUUUGAAGAAAACAACUGCUACCUGUGUAUUAGUUUGUGCAGAUGUGUUACACAGCUUAGCUGUGUCUGUACCAGUUUAUUAGAAUCAAAGUAUUUUUAAAGUACCUAAGGCCAGGCACAGUGGCUCACACCUGUAAUCCCAGCACUUUGGGAGGCUGAGGCAAG
rnacentral:lncRNA from 10 species